GCUCUUCCGGACGCAAUUUUGAGGAGGUCGGAGCGGAAGGACGUCGUGGAGAUUGCUUGCGCUGGGGUGCCACACUUAGGCUGAGCUGCAGGUUUUCGCACAGUCGCGAGUUAACCUCUGCUUGCUCCAGAGGCCUCGUCCUAAUCCACCUCGGCUGACGGCGCGGGAUCCCUGGCUCCGCGAGCCUCAGCCUCACCAUGUGUGUCAGGAGCUGUUUCCAGUCCCCCCGUCUCCAGUGGGUGUGGAGAACAGCCUUCCUGAAACACACCCAGCGCAGGCACCAGGGGUCCCACCGAUGGACACACCUUGGAGGCAGCACCUACAGAGCGGUGAUUUUCGACAUGGGCGGAGUUCUCAUUCCUUCUCCAGGGAGAGUCGCUGCAGGUGAGCUAUUGAUUCUGUUUCACUUUGUGGGACUAGAGUGGUGGUGGGAGAAUGGAGGGUGAUCGGGAAGGCAGAGGGGAACACUUGGGCAGCAGUGUGUCCCAGCAGGCCAUGCUCUGGCUCUCGAGUCGAAUUCCAAGCACCACUAGGGGGCUGAGUGUCUUGGGCGCAUGAUUCAGCUUCUCCAAAUCUUACUUUCCUCAUCAUUAAAUGAGCUAAUGGUAGUGCCUUCCUCCUU
rnacentral:lncRNA from 10 species